GCAUACUUGUAUCAGUUUUAUUUAGAGCUAGAAAGCCACCACAUCACUCAUUUAAUGGAUCAAUCAGUUAAUGUGACCUGUAUAUUUACUAUGUUUACAUUUAUUGUGUUGCUUUUGAGACCAGAGAUCUUGGAAGAACCUUCAGAAGACCUUUGAAAAGCAACUUAAGGAUGGAAGACUCGACCCACUAUAAGUUCAACACAUGAAGAAAGCAGCAAAACGGGUUUUUAUGAUUGGAAGUGACAGAUAAGUUUGUUUAAAUUAAUCAAAUUGCUUGAUCCGCUUUUAUGGCUAUUUAUUUAUUUAUUUAUUAAGCCUGUAAUAGGCAUGUAAUAAAUCUGCUGUUACAAUAUCAGACAAUGUUAGUUCUUAGAAUAUGUUUGUGUCUCCAUCUGAUUUUAUCUAGAAAAAAAUAUUAUAUUUACAUUUAUUAUACACAAUAUAUGUUUAAUUUAUAAUAUGUAAUUACGAUUUAUAAAAUUUAAUUAUUAUUACAAGUAUAUUUGUAAGUCAUAUGCUUUUCAUUUUGUAUUAUAAUUAUUUUUUAUUUUUUUGCUUCUUCGCACCAACGUUAGGCGGCGCAUUACUUUUGUCAGCGGUCGAAAGCCCAGUUAUGGGAACCAUAUUCUGCGUUCCCAAUCAUCCCACGGUGGCUCAAAUGAAGACCUCCAUCCAGUGUGUGGAAAAACCUGAAGUGUUGGGUGGAGUGAUAAUAUAUGACCAGGUGACAUUUGCCAUGAACAAACAACACUUGGUGGCAGUUCUUGAUCGUAAAGCCUCCUUCUAUAACUGUACUAGUAAACAAAAUCUUGGCUUAGAGGGAGAGAAACUCCUUCACACCAGUUCUGUUGUAACAGCAAGUGAAGACAAGAAAGACGAAUGCCUCCCAAGACCUUAAUAUCUCACCCUUUAUACUUCAAAUAAAGGAUUUCACCCUCA